GAUGAACGCUGGCGGCGUGCCUAAUACAUGCAAGUCGAGCGAACAGAUGAGGAGCUUGCUCCUCUGACGUUAGCGGCGGACGGGUGAGUAACACGUGGAUAACCUACCUAUAAGACUGGGAUAACUUCGGGAAACCGGAGCUAAUACCGGAUAAUAUAUUGAACCGCAUGGUUCAAUAGUGAAAGACGGUUUUGCUGUCACUUAUAGAUGGAUCCGCGCCGCAUUAGCUAGUUGGUAAGGUAACGGCUUACCAAGGCAACGAUGCGUAGCCGACCUGAGAGGGGGAUCGGCCACACUGGAACUGAGACACGGUCCAGACGCCUACGGGAGGCAGCAGUAGGGAAUCUUCCGCAAUGGGCGAAAGCCUGGCGGAGCAACGCCGCGUGGGUGAUGAAGGUCUUCGGAUCGUAAAACUCUGUUAUUGGGGAAGAACAGAUGUGUAAGUAACUGUGCACGUCUUGACGGUACCUAAUCAGAAAGCCACGGCUAACUACGUG
rnacentral:rRNA from 1 species